GAAUCAAAAGGAGCCCUUAUAGUGAUUCUGAGUUUGCACUAAGUUAACAGUCUUACAGAUAUGCGACCCAGGUGGAGUUGCUUUUAGUUCAGGUUCAGGAACCACUUGCCUCGGCCAUCGACUCCUGUCGUCUCCGGCGUCGCCUCCCCUGCCCGGAGCUCUGUGCGAUCCAACUUGCAUUUACACUGGCAAAUACUACGCCCCUUCGGAUCCCUCCGCUUUCCAGUGCAUCUCGCCACGAACAGGACAACGGAGAAAAAGGCGGUGGAACAGACGUUUCCGCCCGCGCCCAAACAAGGC
rnacentral:lncRNA from 1 species